GAAAAGGGCUGGGUUCUGCCUUGCAACUUACAAAUAACACGAGCGGGCUCUGCGACUUGCGACUGUUGUAUGCUCAACACUGUUAUUUCUGAAAAGCGAUUUAGCGGGCUCUGAAAACUCUGCGGAUACCUGCGCUCUGCUUCCCAGACGAUUUUCCGGCGACGAGCGACACCGGAGAGACGAUAUUUGAGAGGUGUUAUUAUGUUAAGGAAGAUGACGGAAGAAGGAGAGGCAUUGACAUUUCCUAUGAUGAGGGAAUCGGAGGCUGCUUCUCGACUCAAAUCCACUGUUUCCUAUUUGCUUCCUCAACUCUCCGACGAUUACUCCGAUGACGUCCUCGCUGAGUACAUCACAGUGCUUGUUUGUAAUGGAAAGAGUCAGCGUCAGGCAAGAGAAGAUUUGCAGGCAUUUCUUGGGGAUCAAUCUGAAGGAUUUGUUUCCUGCUUAUGGGAACUCCUCCGGAAGGAACUCUCUCGAGAUGGACUGGAAAAUUUUGCUUCUGACCCUAUGGCUCCUGCUGAGUUUGGUGCCCAUGAUAAUCUCAUGAACAGACAUUCAAACUCUGAAGGGACUAAGGACUAUACGAACAACACCUUCAGUAUUGCUACUGGUGUAAAGGGUCGCAUUAAUGGUUCUUCCAGAAGGCUGAAAGCAACAGAGAAUGAUGAUUGGAAUUCAUCCCCUUCCAUUUACUCAAGAAAGCUAAGCUCGAUUGUGGUUUCAGGUUUUCAGCAACCAGGUGGUAUGAAUCCCGAUAAAUUUGAGAAGACUGCCCAUCAAAGUAGUCGAGCUAUGCAGCAGCCGUGCUUACCAAAAGAAGAAACGAAUACUAAGUACUCUCAAUCUAUACAACCAGUAGGGCUUGUCUCUGACGGAUAUUGUGAUGCACCUUCUUAUUGCAAAACGAAGCCUCGCAUUAGUGUUUGGGAUCGUUUGGGCUCCCUAAACUCUGAUCUGUUCAAGGACUUAAAGAAUCCUCGAAUGCCUGAGACUGAUAUUCAGUCACAUGAGAAGCAAAUACCUCACGCGAAUGGACCGGCGUUUCUUGCAGCUAAUGGUGAACAUUUCAAGAGAUUUCAAAGAGAAGUUACUGCUGUUGGUAACAGGCAUAAAAGCUUCCAAUCUCACACAGCUAGGCAACUGGAGACUGGAAUUAUUACGUGCAAUGGACCUCCUAUGGCCCAUAACCGCACUAGUAAGAGGCGGUAUGGGGACAUAUGCUCUAAUGCCGGUGAUGAUUCAGUCAAUCAGGUUAGUAGAGUUCUCCACAGAGAACCAUCACAGGAUAUCGAGAGGCCCAAGUCACUUUCCUAUCUAUCUGCGAAGUCAGAUCUUCUCUCGGAAAUACUGAACACAAAGAAAAAACUGCUUCAAAUUGAAAUGCGAAUUCUUCAAUCAAAACAGCUGAAGAAACAAAAAGUCGGAGCAUUGCCAUCAGAGUCUGGUGAAUUGCAGGCUCGACAAGAUGACGUGGAGUCAAAAUCUAUCCAUGUUACAAAUGUACAUUUUGCAGCAACUGAAGAAGCUAUAUCAGUGUUCUUCGCCAAGUGUGGAGCUGUUGAAAAUGUUGUUAUUGUAACUAACCCGGAAAGUUUGAAGCCAAUAGGGGCUGCUUUCGUUACUUUUGCAAGCAAGGAGUCAGUUGACAGAGCAAUAUUGCUGAGUGGUAGUGCAUUCUAUUCAAGGACAGUGAAGGUCAUGAGGUCAGCAGAUGUAACUGCCGGAACAGAAACGUUGACCAAGACCAACAGAAGCAGCCUCUCAGGACCACCAUUCAACCGCAGGAGCCGUCAUCUACAAUGGCUCCGUGACUCCGACUCCACUCCUUCCCCAUCAGAAGCACUGUUUUACUGAAACACAGUCACCGCCCCAGAGGAAUCUUCUUGUUCCUCACCCCCUCGGAUAUCUUCUUCCUUGGAGCCGGCGAUUUCGAUUUGGACUGUACAGCUUAACUCAGGAACCGUAGUAAAUACGCAGAAGCGGCAGAAUAGAGCAUGAAGAGUUGGUGACAAACACUUGUACAAGUUUUUUCCUUCACGUCUACUGCUCCCAAUUCAUUUUUGACGUCGUUUUUAAUUGAGUUUUGCAGCUCUAAAACGGUACCGGGUAUAUCUCUCGAUAUUAUACAUUGGUAUUGGGUUCCACUCUCCACAUCCUUUUAUACUGUCAUUGCUUGAGAAAACAUAACCAGCUAAACUGAUCUUGAUGUUGAUAUGAAAAAGUGUUUAGGGGAUGAGUUUACGAGGCGAUGAAUACGUACAGCAGUUACAAGUGAAGUGCAGGAGACAGAGAAAGACGGUACUACACAUCAAAAGCUACUCUACCACAAAAACGGAAACCAAAACACUUCGGACGCACAAUCCUAACCCCAUGCAAUAUCUGAAACGGGCUUUCCGCACUGUCGUCAUCACUACCUCAGUUUCAGCGGCUUCGAGCAUUUUCACCAUCUCAGGAAACGACGGGCGAACCUCGGGAUUGGAGUCCCGGCAGCGGGUCAUGAUCUCGCUCAGUACAGGGAUGCAAUCCCUCGGGAUGGUCGGACGUACACCCCUGUUCACCACCGCAAACGCCGCUUGUACUGCUGCCAUGUUUCGGAACGGUAAAAGACCUGCGAUUAGCUCCCACAGAACAAUUCCAAAACUAUACGCGUCCACUUUCUGGGUGUAACGCCUAUUCUGGAUCAUUUCUCUGCAACUGUAAAGAGGGCAAGAGAUUACGAGAGAUACAGAUAAUAGAGGACACGGCAAAAAAAGAUGAGCUCUGAAUAUAGCAGUGCUUGAAAAUCGCAGAAAAAACAAGAAA